AAGUUGUGUGUGGGAAAAGUUUUACAGUUAGUUGAUUUAAAAUUAAUAAUAAUCACAAAGUGUUUAUUUAAGGAACCUUGAUGAUCAUGAAAAAUAUGAUUUAAGAAAAAUAUAUUAAAAUUACAUCAUCUAAACUGUUAUCAAUAGCAAAAAAAUAUGUUUAUUUUAAUGUCGCAACUGAUAUGCUAAGCCUAAUUAAUCACAUGUUUGAUUUAUUUCGCAGAAAAAUACGUAAGUCUAAAGUUCUAUCUCGUUAUAAAUGUGAUGAUCUGUUAUAUGGAAACUAUGCAUCUAUCAUUCAAACAACAAGACAAAAAUUUCUCGAACUUAUGAAUUCUUCAUUUUGCAUGAUAAGUAUUCCAUUGCUUCUUUCUAAAAUGGCGAUACCAGAACCACAGAUUAGCAGAACCGUGACUACCACAAUAUUCAAACCGAGGCGGG
rnacentral:lncRNA from 1 species